rnacentral:tRNA from 1 species
GGGGCUGUAGCUCAGUUGUAGAGCACUUGCCUCACACGUACGAGACCCUGGGUUCGAUCCUCAGCACCACA